rnacentral:rRNA from 1 species
GAUGAACGCCGGCGGCGUGCCUAAUACAUGCAAGUCGAGCGAACGGACGAGAAGCUUGCUUCUCUGAUGUUAGCGGCGGACGGGUGAGUAACACGUGGAUAACCUACCUAUAAGACUGGGAUAACUUCGGGAAACCGGAGCUAAUACCGGAUAAUAUUUUGAACCGCAUGGUUCAAAAGUGAAAGACGGUCUUGCUGUCACUUAUAGAUGGAUCCGCGCUGCAUUAGCUAGUUGGUAAGGUAACGGCUUACCAAGGCAACGAUGCAUAGCCGACCUGAGAGGGUGAUCGGCCACACUGGAACUGAGACACGGUCCAGACUCCUACGGGAGGCAGCAGUAGGGAAUCUUCCGCAAAGGGCGAAAGCCUGACGGAGCAACGCCGCGUGAGUGAUGAAGGUCUUCGGAUCGUAAAACUCUGUUAUUAGGGAAGAACAUAUGUGUAAGUAACUGUGCACAUCUUGACGGUACCUAAUCAGAAAGCCACGGCUAACUACGUG